rnacentral:rRNA from 1 species
GUAGGUGGCAGAGUAUGUCUGUAGUGAAAGCGUGUGGCUCAACCAUAUACACAUUACAGAAACUGCUCAGCUAGAGGGCGAGAGAGGUUACUAGAAUUCCUAGUGUAGGAGUGAAAUCCGUAGAUAUUAGGAGGAAUACCGAUGGCGUAGGCAGGUAACUGGCUCGUCCCUGACACUAAGGCACGAAAGCGUGGGGAGCAAACGGGAUUAGAUACCCCGGUAGUCCACGCUGUAAACGAUGGAUGCUAGCUGUAAGAGGUAUCGACCCCUCUUGUAGCGAAGCUAACGCGUUAAGCAUCCCGCCUGUGGAGUACGGUCGCAAGACUAAAACAUAAAGGAAUUGACGGGGACCCGCACAAGCGGUGGAGCGUGUUGUUUAAUUCGAUGGUAAACGAAGAACCUUACCCAGGUUUGACAUCCUUGGAAUUUUGCCGAAAGGCGAGAGUGCUUUAUUGAGCCAAGUGACAGGUGUUGCAUGGCCGUCGUCAGCUCGUGUCGUGAGAUGUUUGGUUAAGUCCAUCAACGAGCGCAACCCUUAUAGUCUGUUGUAUUUUUCAGGCUAGACUGCCCCGGUAACGGGGAGGAAGGAGGGGAUGAUGUCAGGUCAGUAUUUCCCUUACGUCCUGGGCUAGAAACACGAUACAAUGGCUAAUACAAUGCGCAGCAAAGCCGCGAGGUGGAGCAAAUCGCAUCAAAGUUAGUCCCAGUUCGGAUUGGAGGCUGAAACUCGCCUCCAUGAAGUCGGAAUCGCUAGUAAUCGCAAAUCAGCAAGUUGCGGUGAAUACGUUCCCGGGUCUUGUACACACCGCCCGUCAAACCAUGAAAGUCACCAAUACCUGACGUGUUGCCUUCGCGCAGCCCUAAGGUAGGGGGGAUGAUUGGGGUU